rnacentral:rRNA from 1 species
GACGUAGGGCGCGAGCGUUGUCCGGAUUUAUUGGGCGUAAAGAGCUCGUAGGCGGCUUGUCGCGUCGACUGUGAAAACCCGCGGCUCAACUGUGGGCUUGCAGUCGAUACGGGCAGGCUGGAGUUCGGUAGGGGAGACUGGAAUUCCUGGUGUAGCGGUGAAAUGCGCAGAUAUCGUAAGGAAGACCAGUGGCGAAGGCGGGUCUCUGGACAGUUCCUGACGCUGAGGCACGAAGGUCAGGGGAGCAAACGGG